CUCUCAUGCGACUUAUAAUUCGCGAGUUGCUAUGCAACUUGUAAGUCGCGAGCUGUUGUGCUACUUCUAAGUCGCAUGGCAGCGUGCAAAUUCCAUUGAAAACCCUAAAAAAAUCUGUGAUCUUUAAAACACCUAUCCUUCAUCCCAAUUAUAAAAACCCUACAAUCCCUAACAUAUUUCUCAUCUUUAAACUCCAUAACUCUCUCAAAAACUUGAUAUCUGUUAACUUUUAAAGUUAGAUUGUUAGAAAAAUUUACUUAUCAUCCCUAAAAGAUGGCUCAAGAAAAUUAUGUGAACCCGGGACCCGUGCAUGGUGAUGUUUUAGUGCUACAACGUAAACAUCUUUCGACAAAAAUCUGGGAUAAUGACCUAAUCGAAAGGCAAGCACUUUCAACAGUGCGUCGACAAGACCAUUUAUUAUGGCAGCACUUAAAAAAUAACCCGCUGCAUUAUCGUAUUUUAAAUUUAUUCGAUUUAACAGGAUUUGGAGGUAUUCUACAAGUAGGACACAUUUCACUCGAUAUCACUUUGAUUACUGCUUUGAUUGAAGGGUAGCGCCGAGAAACGCAUACCUUUCAUUUUAGAAAUGGUGAAACAACUAUAACUAUGCGUGAAAUGGAAGUUAUGUUCAGAGUGGUUGUCGAUGGAAUGUCGUUUCUUCUACAAGGUGUACUAAACUUAGAUACGAGAGCUAGACAACAUUUAAUUUAUAAUUUAACUUGUUGGUUUCUCCUGAAAAAUAGUUUUCAAGGGAAUAAUAUUACUACACGAUAUUUAAUUAAUUUUAUAGAAAAUUUAGAUGAAAUAGAUGAUGAUUCCACUAAUUAAGAGGUUCACCAAAGAUUUAGAUUAUACCUAUUUUGGUUGGGUGGGACAUUAUUUCUAGAUUAUUUUAUUGAAAUGGCUGACAUAAAUGCAUUGUCAAGACAAGCUUGGGGAGCUUCCACACUUUCUUAUUUGUAUCAUUAGUUAUGUCGUGCAGCUUUAUGCGACCCAGCAGAUGUAUCCGGUUUUACAACAAUAAUACAGUUUAUUUGGAAGCCAUAUUUUGAAGUUGUUCUUAAUGUGUUGCCCGAACAGUGUUGACGGGGACUUCAUAUGUGGAUGACCAAGGUGUCACUAAUUUUCAGCAUUCAUCGUGAGUGGCACAUGAAUGAUCUUGUGGUCACACAAUUUGGUUUUCCACAACAUAUAACAGAAAAUGUGCCUUAUCAAAUAGAUCAUUAUAAGAUUGAUAAGCGCAUAAAUCUCUUUUGGAACAUAAGAUCCGUGAGAACUCAAGAUACCUUUCAUAGAGUUCAAAUGUUACACAAACAUCAUAAGUUUUUCCUUAUAUAUUUGAUGGAACCAUUUCAAGACAUAAGGAAAAUUCAGAAGUUCAAAAGGAGACUAGGAAUGAAAUAUGUAAAUUAUUAUUGUAAUGGUCAGAUAUGGGUAUUUAUUAAAGAGAAUAUUCAAGUUGGCGUGAUCUCAGAUACUGAUCAACAAAUUACACUGCAACUCACUUUAGAGGAUGGAAAACAAUUGAUGGCAACUAUGGUAUAUGCCAAGUGUUCUACUGAUGAGAGAUUAGAACUCUGGAAUAAUUUAUAUUCCACCAGUGAUAAUUUUUCAGAACCUUGGAUUGUGGGGGAAAUUUCAAUGUUAUUCUUGGAGAAGAUGAAAAGAUUGGAGGUCUACCAGUCUAUUUGAUAUAACUCUAGUAUGAGGAUUUUGCAUUUUGUUAUAACUCUUGUAAUCUAUUUGAUAUUAGCUUCACUACCAUUUACUAAGUGGAAUGGAAGGGGUGGCUCAAAUUGUAUCUUUACAAGGCUAGAUAGGGUAAUGAUUAAUCAGGAGCUUCUUGGAAAUAUAGAUUUAUACAACCUAACAGGGACUGGAUCAAAUCAUGCACUAUUACUAUUAACUUGUGGAGGUCAAGCUGAUCAAAACUUUAUAAAGCCUUUCAGGUUCUUGAAAUUCUGGGCAGGCAGGGAUGACUUUAAAGAGGUGGUGAAAGACUAUUGGAAGGGUGAAUAUUUUGAUGAUGUGUUUGUACAAUGGAAACUAAAAUAGAAAAAGACAAAAUGAGGACAGGCCAAAUGGAGCAGGGAUACUUUUUGUGAUAUAUUUAAGCAGCUGCACAUCAGAGAGGAGAUUGUUAAGCUGGAGGAAGGAGUGUUUUAACAGGAUCCUUCUAUAUACAAUAGAAGUAUCCUGCAACAGGUUGAUGCUGAAUACAAACUCUAUCUUCACUAUGAGGAGGAGUUUUGGAGGCAAAAGGCAAGUAUCUAGUGCUUUUCAGAGGGAAAUAGAAAUACUAAAUUUUUUCAUGGAUUGGUAAGAGUAGGAGGAGGAGACUAAUGCUGAACAGGAUUAUAAAGGAAGAUGGUCAGUGCAUUGAAGGGGAUGAUGAGACAGUAUCUGAAGCUCUAAACUUUUACCAGAAAUAAUUCUCAGAAGAUAUUUCAAAUAGGGACACUAAUUUACUACAGAAUAUCCAAAACAUGGUGACUGCAGAAGACAAUGAGAGGUUGACUGCUAGCGCUGAUGUGAAUGAGAUCAAAAAGUGGUAUUUUAACUUAAUGGGGAUUGUUCUUGUGGCCCUAAUGGAUUAGCAGGACAAUUCUUUCAGACUUUUUGGGAAAUUGCGGGAGCUGAUAUUGUUGGGAUUAUUCAAGCCUUCUUUUUGAGAAACUCUCUCCCAAAAUCUAUUA